GUAGACCUGCACUUGAAGGAAAUUGCAUAAAGAUGGUGUUUGGACCACUAGCUGGUGUUACAAGUGCAGGAAAACAAGAGCCUAGAGGAGCUUUCUACCCCGCCUCAACCAUAAAACUGAUAUCUACCUGCAGCAAAUUCAAGGCAGGUGUGAUCAUGCAAGUGUGACGGAAGGGAGCGCGAUCAGAAUCUUGAUACGUCUGAAGCAUCAUUUUGAGGAGGUCAUGACACAGAAGACGAGUCGUGCUAAAAACAAACAGAUCCAUGUCUCUUCGGAUGAGCAGCUCAUCCUGUAUACAUGUCACAUACGAUAACCCAUGAUGGCAAUAUGAUGUCACUCAUGUCAGGGUUUGUGAAUGUAUUACAUAAGUGUCAUGUUGCCUUCACCAAUCACAACACACAUGAUGCAAGA